UACAGAGGUCUCAAGCGUUGUUCGGAUUCAUUGGGCGUAAAGGGUGCGUAGGCGGCGCGGUAAGUCGGGUGUGAAAAUCUUGGAGCUUAACUCCGAAACUGCAUUCGAUACUGCGGUGCUUGAGGACUGGAGAGGAGACUGGAAUUCAUGGUGUAGCAGUGAAAUGCGUAGAGAUCAUGAGGAAGACCAGUGGCGAAGGCGGGUCUCUGGACAGUUCCUGACACUGAGACACGAAGGCCAGGGGAGCAAACGGG
rnacentral:rRNA from 1 species